UUUUUUUUUUUUUUGCUUUUCGUUAUCUAUAUCGUCUGACAUAAAGUUUCAUGUGCGAUACUAACUAAAUGUAUGUAUUAUCUGAAGAGAUUUGAAUGGAAAAGAUCAGGCAAAGUAAUAAUGUAAUUAAUUAUAUAAUCUUGAUAGGGGUAUGAUGUUUUAUUAUUGUUUGACUCAAAUAUUGUGUAUUAUAGGCUAAUUCAAAAAAAAAUUAAAAAAUUGUCGCUCUCAUUAUACCACUUUUGCUAUCCGAUGAUGAUAAUGAUAUGUAUAUAAUCUAUAUUAAUAUUUGUAUUUAUAUCUGUAUCUAUUAUGAAUAUAUAAUCUAUAUCUAUAUCUAUAUCUAUAAUUCUAUAAUAAUAAUAAUCUAUUAAAAGUGUGAAGGGCCUUAAAAAUGUUGUUUGAACUUUUUGUUCUUUUAUUAAAAGUUUUUGCUUUACACAAAAUCGUCUUUUCACUAUUUUUUCCUAAUAUUUAAAAGUUGAAAAUUAAUUAAAUAUAUUUAUAGUAAAACCUUUUCUUAUUAGAAGUCAUCAAAAUUUAAUGACAAAUAAUACUAAUCCCAUUACUUUAAAAAUUCUAAAUUAGCUAAGUUUAAUUUUAAGAAGAUUUGAAAAAUCUAGAAAUAGAUAUAAAAAAUGUUAGAAUAAGAAAAAUUGAAGAAGUAUAAAAAUUUUAAAAGUUUUAACUACAUAAUAAAAAUGUAAUCAAUGAUUUUAUAAAGAUUUGACUUUAAAAAUAAAGAAAAACUUUAAAUAUAGGAAAAAAAGGAAGAAAAUAAUCAUACCACAGAUAUGGUUUAAAUUNNNNNNNNNNNNNNNNNNNNNNNNNNNNNNNNNNNNNNNNNNNNNNNNNNNNNNNNNNNNNNNNNNNNNNNNNNNNNNNNNNNNNNUACCAAAAUAUUUGCUUAGGUUUACAUUAUUAUUAAAAAAAGUGCGAAAGAUCGUUGAAAAGUGAUUUAAACUUUUUACAUUUCAUUAAAAUCUCUGCAAUAGAAAAAAUAUUUAAUUUUAAAUAAUCAAACGUUACAUGUGCGAGACAUGUGCGGUCAUACUAGUACUAUAUUAAAAAUGUGAAGAUACUUAUAAAUCUGGUUUAAACUUUUUGUCAUUCAUUAAAAAUCUCCACAAUAGAUAAGAACGUCUUCUUACGUAUUUUAUCCAAUUAUUAUAUUAUUAAAUUAUUUUUCUAAUGCUUACUAUUUUAAAGUUAAUUACUAUUUUAAAGUUAAUUAAAAUUCUUUUUUAUCUAAAUAAAGAAUCAUGCUAUUUAACACUUUUAAAUCAAUUAAAAGUUAUCUUAUAUAAAAAAAAAAGUUUUAUAAUUUUAUUUAAAUAAAGAACUUAAACUGUCAAAAUUUGAGAAAAAAAUCUUGUUAAUAGAGGGGAAUAAAAAAUAAAUCAAACACCAAAACAAGAACUAAAGAAGUAAGAAGUGACUUUAGAAAAAAAAAAACUAAAAAUGCCAAAAAUUCAGGAAAAAUUCGGCUAAUAGAGGGGGAAAAAAUGAAUCCCGUGCCAAGUAUUUUGUGGGGAAACUCAGCUAUUUAGGAAAAAGCUAUGCAUCAAAAGAAAAAAAAUGUAAUAACCAAACUAAGAAAAAAGCUAUCAAUGGAAAGGAAAAAAAAUUUAAGAAUAAAAAAAAAGAAGGUAUAAUAAUUAUCCUAAGAUUUAGUACUUUCAAAUUAAUUAAAAUUCUUAUUUUAUUUAGAUAAGAAAUAAUCAUAUUUAAAAUUUUAAAUACAUUAAAAUUUUUCUUUAUAUAUAUAAAAAAGAAUAUCCAUGAUUCGAUUUAAACAAUAUUUUGAUCAAAUUUACUAGAAACAUACAUGUGAUUAUUAUAGUUCGUUUUUUUUCUUUUUGAUGAUUGAUUAAAGUUUUUCUUGCAUCCAUUAUCAUUAUUCUUUUUAGCUUUUUUUAUUCCUUUUACUUAAUAAAUUUAAAUACUAUAUAUAAUUUAUACAUAAUCAAUAAUUGACUAUGAAUUGUCCCCUUUUGAUAGUUUCUCAUGUUUAUCUUUUAUUUGAAAAUUUCUGAUAGAAAUAUUGUACGAAACAAGCAUGUUGCAGCUGAAUGAAAUAAUCGAAAAAAUCAAAGGUUAUCUCCCCUUUUCAGUUUUUGUGCAGGAAUAUUAGUUUUCUUUUUAGUUACCAUAACUUUUAUCCUUUUCACAUGCACUCGAUAGUUUAAAGGUAUAUUUGCUAUUUAUUCAGAUAAUAUGUAGUGCUAAUUUUUUUAAAGAUAAUAUUAUAUAACACUAUUAUCAUAAUGAUCCUAUUGAUUCGAUUAUUAUUAGUUUUCUUUCUGAAAAAUAUUUAUGCACUAUUUAUUUGAUAUAUGAUAUAGUUCAUGUUGGAAUGUUGAAAUUAGCGUUCUUUGUUAUAAAAGUAAAAAUAAAUUCUUUUUUUUUCCAGCUUGAAAAUUAGUAUUUUAAAGUUCAAAUUAAUUACUUGAGUCAAGUUUAUGAAAUACUUAUGAUUUUUAAGUUUGUUUUUAAAUUCAUCCUUUUAGCCGUUGCUAAGUUCAAAUUGUAUUGUAGGUGUUUGACCUCAUAGAAAAAUUGCAGACAUAUCGUCGUGUAUGCCAAGUAAUAUAUUAUUUAUAGUUACGUAUUAAAGUUAAGUAAUAUGUGAAUUCAUAUAUAGUAUACAUAUAUAUAUGCAAUAAGCGCAUAUUGCUAUUUUUUAUCUUCAGUUGCUAGCUCCUAAUUAUGCUUCUCAGGUGCAAGACCAGCAAAGCUUGUUAAAGAGUGUGACAUGACUGCUCUUGUGGGCAACUAUUUUGUAUCCUACUUUUGGAGGCAACAUCCGUUGUUUCAAAACCAAAAUUCCUUUGUGCUAUUUUUGGAUAUCCCUUUCUCCACCUUAGUCUGCUGAGGAUGGACGACAUUGCACUUAUAGGUUGACAACUCUAUAAAUUUAUCGAUUAAUUUUUGAAAAAAUGCAUGUUUACCCCUUAAAGUGUUACGAAAAUUUACUUUAGUCAUUAAACUUAACAUGUAAUUAUUUACCCCUCUUAUAAACUUUAAAGUGUAUUAUUUUGCUUUCUUCGUGGCUUAGAGCAAUUGUUGACACUUAAUUUUUGCCCUCUACAGCUAAGUUAAAUCUCAAGUUUCUUCGAUUUUUGAAUAAAAUUACAACAUUUAUUUUAUUCAAAUAAAAAGGUUUUUCAAAGCAUUUAUCUGAGCAAUUUUGUUAUUUUAAGAGAAAAUUAUAUAUUAUUGUAUUCAAUUAUACGAGAUUAUAUAAUUUUGUUACUUAAAUAUUUAUUUUUACAAAAAUAUCAAAUUUUAAUCAAGGCAUAUCUUGAAAAUAAAUUCAAAUGAUUAAAAUCUUGACUUAAAUAUAAUUUAUUCUUGAAAAUAAUUUAUCUGAAUAAAUAUAUGUUUGAUUUUAUCAAAUUAAGAACCCCGGGAUUAAACAAGGUGUUAAUUCAUAUUGAAUUUCGAUUCAAUAUAGUCAAUUUGUUAAAUUUGGGCCUUAAUUGAAAUUAAUUCGACCAUAAUUACAAUGCAAUUGGUCGAUUGAGUUUUAAUUGGGCUAAAGUUUAAAUGCAAUUGUCUAAACUUUUCUUUUUGACUAUUUAUUAAAUAGUCAAAAUAGCCUAACCUAUUCAUACCCUAAUUUAAUUUGGUAAAAUAACCCCCAAUUAAAACCCAAUACAGCAACCCAUUUCUUUUUUAAUUUUAUCACCAGCCCAAUCCACCAAUACUGUUUUGGCCCAAUACCCUUUUUCUUGCCCAUCAGCUAACAACAAAUAAUAAUCCUCAACAUCCCAAUGACUCCUUAACCACCCCAGCCCAACAAAUGGUUUGACCCGGCCCAUUUUUAGCUUCUCCUCAACAAAACAACAACGUACAACUUUCAACAAUCCCAAAUCAAACAAUCAGCUUCAACUGACGACAACAUCACGCGAUUUAGCCGAUCUGAACAACCAGCCACGAAAAACAACCACGAAACUUGGUGCUGACCCAUUUUGUUCGCCAACAACGACGGGUGUACCAAAUCCUACCCCCUUUCUCUUCCUAUCCCCCAAAAGCUUGAAUCUUCUAAAAGAUAGCUUAGGUGGCCACUCCAACAGUUAAAUUCUGAGAAUCUCAAGUUAAUUGGUAUGAUUUCGUACAUAUUUGCCCAAUUUUCAUUGAUUCGUGAGGGAAAUUUCAUCCACUUAUUCUAUUGGUUGGGGAUUUUUUCGAUUUCAUCAGGAAAAUUUAAAAUUUGUACCGAUUGUUGGCUAGAACCCCUAUCCACAGCCCAAAAAUUCAAAUUCCUCUCAUUGGCAAAUCCCAAAAUUGUCCCCAUUUCAUUUUUUCCACAUCGAUUCAGCUUCAAAAUUUGAAUUUCGAGGGUUUCCUCUAUAAAAAGGCUCCUUGUUGAGCUUGAAAAGAAAAAGGGAGAGAAAAAAGAGAAGAAGGGGAGAAAAAUCUGGAGGGUGGGCCAUGAAAAACAACCAGAAAAUCAGUGUUGACCCAUUUUAUUCGCCAACAAUGAUGGGUAUACCAAAUCCCGCCUCUGUCUCUCUCUUCCCAUCCCCAAAACCCUCGAAUUUUCUAGAAGAUAGCUUAGGUGGCCUCUCCAACAGUUAAAUUCUAAGAAUCUCGAGUUAAUUGGUAUGAUUUCGUACAUAUUUUCUUAAUUUUCAUUGGUUCGUGAGGGAAUUUCAUCCUCCUAUUCUAUUGGUUAGGGAAUUUUUGGAUUUCAUCAAGAAAAUCCAAAAUUUGUACCAGUUGUUGGCUAGAAGCCCUAUCUGGAGCCCAAAAAUUUGAUUUCCUCUAACGGUAUUUUCUUGUGUCUUCUUUGAGACGUCUUGUUUUGUGGAGCAUUUAGAUUAUUUUCUAUUUUGUUCAAACAUCAGUAGCAUCAGUUUCUUUUUUAUUAGGUUCUAAUCCUUACUCUUUUCUUUACAUGUACCACUUGCCUCGAGUCCAAAAAAUGAAUUCAAUCUCUAUUCGCAUUUUUUCAUGGGCCAUUAGGGCCCACCAUUUCUGUCAAAUUAACUUCGAGAGUCAAUUGUCUGGCAUAUGGAUACAAGAAGAUGGAAGGAAAAGAAAAUGGGUUGAAACCCAUUGGCAAAGUAGUUAGGAGACUCAAAAGUAUCAUAUUAUUAUUGUUGACUUUUACUUUUAUUUAAUUUGUCCGUUUAUUUAUUUAUUCCUUCAUUUUAUUAUUCAUUCAUAGGCCUCGAAGUCAAAGUUGUAAUUUAAUACAGGUGAGGAGGAUUUUGGGCCUUAAAGGUUCGAAAACUAGCUUAGGACAGGUUAUGGGCCGAGAGCCCAAUAUUUAGAUUAGGACAGGUGUAAGUGGACCAAAAGCCCAUUUAAACUAAGACAGGUUUAGUUGAUUUGGUCCUAAUGGACUAAAUCUUUUACUUUCUCUUCCCUUUCCCCUUUUAUGUGUUUAUUUGAUUAUUAGUUUUGUUUAGACUUAGUUAAAAUCCCUACUAAGUCGCCUAAAUCUAUUUUGCACAAGUCUUUUCUAAAACAAUCGAUCACCUUUCAACAAAUCAAUCUUUUUUUUGAAGUUAGUCAAAAGAUGUUUUCAAACAGUCCGGAUAACCGCAAGUUAGCAGACAUUUUAGGUGCCUAAAACCUUCCUAAAACGUUAAUAGGAACUACUUAUUCAGAAUCUUUAAAUUUAAAUGAUUUUUCUUUUUUGGAUCGUUUAAAGUAUCUUGUAAAGGUUUCUUAAUUCCUUUUCAAAAUUAAGUGGCGACUCUCUAAAAGUCAAAAUUUUUGCAAAACAGCAAGUCAAGCUCCAUUAUUGUAUAAUUACUUGCGAUUUGAUUGGUCCACAUCAUUAAUGAACCUGACCCGCUAUAAUAAUAAAAUGCCCAACUUAUUUUUAAAUAAAAACUGACUUGAUUCGAUCCAACCCUUUUUUCUAUCAAAUACACCAAACCCGUCAUUUCCUUUCUCAUUCCUAACCCGUCAAAUUACAAAUCAUUUCAAAAACGAAAAUAUAAUUCCUACUUCCAACCUAAUCAAUCGUUAGUUUCUUGGAGCUGCUAAGAUUAUCGUGAUUGUUGGUUAGUAAUCCCUUUCUUUUACCUCUGUUUUUCAUCUACAAUUUUAUCCAAUCGUUUUUCAAAGAAUUUCAUGUUUAGAUUUUUUAUUUUGACUAAAGCUCAUAUUUUUUAAUUUUUUUUACAGUUUUAAAAUAACUUUUCUGUAUAUUACCUUGAGAUUUAACCAUGGAAAAAUAUUACAAUUAAAUACAUCAAAGGUAUGAGGACUGAUUGUUUAGACGUAGAUAUUGACAAAUUAUCUUGCUUUGAGUUUGUAGGCUUUGUUAAAAAAAAAUUGGAUACUACUGUUCCUCUUGUGUUGUUUAUAUUAGACCACCCAAGUCUAAUCCUUUGGUAAAGGUUACAUGUGAUAGGGAUAUUUUGUAUAUUAUACCAAAAUUUAAAAAAAGAAAUGUGGUUGAACUGUAUGUGUCACAUUUAAUUAACAAACCUGAUGUGGUCCCUACCCUUGAAUAUGGUAAGCAUGUAAUGAAGAAUCUUUUACUUCUUUUAAUAAAGACCAAGCACAAACCUUUGUGGAUAACUUAGGGUUUGAAGAAGCUAAAGAAAUUGCACAACCUAUUAUUGGUGUUAGUGAAGUUUCUUCAACUGUUGAAUUAGGCAGAUAUUCUUCUACUAUUGAGGAAGAUUUGGGUGGGGGUGGUGCUAGUCUUGAGGAAGAUUUAGGUAGGGAUGGUGCUAGUCUUGAUGAAGAUCUAAGUGGAGGUGGUGCAACUGUUGAGGAAGAUUUGGGUGAGAGUGAUGCUAGUCUUGAGGAAGAUUUGGGUGGAGAUGGUGCUAGUAUUGUAGAAUAUUUGGAUAGAACUUCUGUUGCUACUGCAUCAGAUAUUUCAGUAGUACAUUCUUAUUGGAAAAGUGAGUCAAGAUAGUGAAGAUUCUGAUUAUGAUGAUUUGCUUGAAUGUGAUGAUGAAUAUGAUAGUGAUACUCAUGAGGAAGUUAGAAUUUUGAGAGAAGAAAAGAGAGCUGUCAAACUUAAAAAAAAAAAAAAAAGAAAGAGAGCCUAGAGCUAAAGGGGUUAAUUUAAGAAAAAAAAAGUCAAUGUGCGAUAUAAUGAGUAUUUGUUCAAGAAAAAAAUAUCCUGCAAAAUAAAUUAGGUGGUUAUGAACCAUACUUUGAUUCAGAUAAAAAUGUUAGUUUUGAAAUAAAUAUUGAUGUAGAUGUUGAUGAUGGGGAUGAGGUUCAAACAUUCUAUAAAAAGUAUGAAAAAGACAAGGUGGACAAAAAAAAUUUUAAAAAAAAAUUGUGUUUGAUCCUACUUGUAAGUUAAUUGUUUAAUAAAUUGAUCUAGCUUUUAAAAUUUUAAGCAAUUUAGAAAAAUUGUUACGAAAUAUGCAGUUCAAGAACAUGUAGAGUUACGUUGAACAAGUAUGUAAAUGAACCAACUAGGGUGAGGAUAAAAUGUGGAGAUGAUUAUCCAAGGUUACUGUUUAACAAUCAUGAUUAAAGGACUAGAGAUUUUGUUGUUAAAAAGUAUAAUCGAGUGCAUGUAUGCACUGCCACAAUCAGAAAUAAAUUGAUCAAUUCAAAUUAUUUAGCACACAGGUACAAGAAUAGAAUUAUUUAUGAGCCUGACAUAAGAAUUUUUCAGCUACAAAAUCUAGUGAAAAGGGAUUUAAAGAUAUACGUUGGGAGAACUAUGGUAAGAAAAUCUAGAAAUAUGGUGUUGCAACAGAUAAUGGAUGAUCAUGCGGAGAAAUUUAUAAAAAUUCUUAAUUAUAGAAAUGAACUCUUAAAGACUAAUCCAGGCAACACAUGUGUGGUAAGACUUGAUGAAGAAAUUUUUAAAGGUGAAAGACAAAGGUUUCAAUCCUUCUAUAUAUGUUUUGAUACUUUGAAGAAAACAUUCAAAACUGGAUAUAUGAGAUGUAUUGAAUUUAAUGAUUGUUUCCUUAAAGGUGUUUGUAAAGGACAAUUUUUUGUAGCUGUUUGUAAAGAUGGGAAUAAUCAAAUGCUAUCACUGGCUUGGACAGUGGUUGAAGUUGAAAAUACUUUCACUUGAACAUGAUUUAUUACACUUGUUAGGCAUGAUUUAGAGCUUGGUGAUGAAAUAGGAUUGACAACCAUGACUGAUAUGCAGAAGAUAAUUCGUUCUAUCUUACUCAUUUAUUUUUUAACUACUUUAUGUUUUUUCUAUAUUCUUAUGUCAACUAAUCAUUUUAUAUGUUGCUGAAGGGUCUUAACACUGCAAUUUUACAGUUACUAUCAAAUGCAGAACAAAAAAUAUGUGCAAGACAUAUUUUAGCUAAUUGAUCUAAAGAUUGGAGAGACAUUGAAAGAAGAAAUUGCUUAUGAAAAUAUGUCAAGUCAACAUAUGAGUAAGAGUUGAAAAAAAAUCUAAAUCAUAUGGAGAUGUUAGGUAAUAAAAUUUGUGAAGAACUUCUGUGGUACAAUAUAGAAAGGUGGUCCAAGAUUUAUUUUAGUAUUUUUAGUUGUUGUGAAAGUGUUGAUAAUAACAUGACUGAAAGUUUUAACUCAUGAAUUCUGGGGACAAAAUACAAGACUAUUAUCACAAUGCUUGAGGAAAUAAGGGUCAAAGUAAUGAGAAGAAUAGCGAAGUUGAGCUAGUUCUCUGAAACUUGAAUAACUGACAUUCCUCCAAUGACUUUAGAGGUAUUGGGAUGAGAACACUUCAAAAUCAAUGAAGUGUACCCUUGAAUGAAAUGGUGAAUAUGCUUUUGAGGUUAAGGACAGUUGGGGCAGUACAUUUAUACUGUGGCUGAAUAAUAGAACAUGUAUUUGUAGAUUCUGGAUGCUAAAAUGCAUACCUUGUUGUCAUGCUAUAGCUGCACUUCAUUUUAGAAGAUUGGAACCUAUUAACUAUGUCUCACAUUGGUAUAACAAGGAAACAUACCAGAAAACUUAUAUUUUUUUUAUCAACCUGUUACUGAAAUAAAAAUGUUGCCAUAGUCUGCCAACCUUCCUAUUAUACCAUCAGAAAUUAGAAAAAUGCCAGGCAGGCCCCCUAAAUCAAGAAAGAAAGAGGAAAAUAAAAACAAGAUAGGUAAAUUAUCCAAAACAAGUAUUGAAAUGACCUACAACACUUGUCAUACAAAGGGUCAUAAUAAGAGGAGUUGUCCUUUUGAUGCAAAAACUAUAAUUGAUAAAGGAAAGGGAACAAGUUCAAGUGUUGAUUCUUCUGCAGCUUCAAAUCAGUCUCAACUAAGUACAAAUAAAGAAAGAUGAAAACCAAAAGGAUCUACAAAAUAGGUAAAAUUUAUUUAUAAUUCACCUUAAGUUUUAUUAAAUUUUGAUAUUAUUUUUACUGUUAAGAUAUUGCAGCUGCUAUUAAAUUUUGAUGUCUCUUAUUUUAACUGUUAGGCUAUUGCAGCAGCUGUUGCUUAAGUAGUUGCUGCUGCUACUGCAAAUGUGAUUUGUGGCAUUGAAAAGGAAAAAAAGGACUAGUAAGGGUAGAGGAACUACUGCUCUUGCAUUUAAUAUAGAUAGUAUCAAUGGAAGAAAAAAAGAGAUUGGUAAGGGCAAAGGGGGUACUACUCUUAUAUUUAAUAUAGGUGGUGCCUCUGAAAAGGAAAGAGGUACUUGUAGGGGUAGAGGGACUACUGUUGCUGCUGUAAAUACUGUUGGUGUCAUUGUAAGGAGUAGAGGGAGUGUUGCUACUACAUCAAAUUCUAGUGAUGUCAGUAGAAGGGUAGAAGAGUUGUUGAUUCAGCAUCUAAACUUGGCGGUAUUACUAGUAGGUGUCGAGGGACAAGUUUUAAAAGAUAAAAAAUGAUUAAAAUGGGAGUUCUACAUACACAAAGUGAUUUUAAAAUCCACAAUGCAAGUGCUUGAGUGACUUUACAUUUUACAAUAUUCAAGUUGAUCAUCAAAAGACUAAUCAUUUUUUUAUUCCAGCCUAAAAUACUUCUGAACUCUUCUCUAAAAACUGAAAAUUUUGGACACCAUAAAUCAAGAUCAGGUGUGAAAUGAAAAGGAAAGCCUGUUGUCACUCAGCAAGGAUUUCAAAAAAUGAGAACACAAAAAAGAAUGAAGACAAGUACCAAAGCUACAGAAAUAAAUCAAUUGAGCCAAACAAGUUUUUCAGCUGUCUAGUAUUUGAAGUCUGAUUUGUUCCACUAAAUUGUGUCAUGUAUUUGAUGUUUGAUUAGCUCAAAAAAUUAUGUAGUUGUUCCUGGAUAAAUAAAUUUUUGUAAAACAAUUAUGCAGCUAUGACUGCUUUGUGAUGUUUGAUUUUUUUAAAAUAAUUAUGCAACUGUAACUAUAAUUUUUGAUCUCUUAAUUAUUUAACUGUGACUGCAAUAUUUUGAUAUAUUAUGCAGCUGUGACUGUAGUGUUUAUUUCAAACAAGUAUGCAGUUGUGUCACAUGAAUAUUUCUAGCAAUACAUGCAGCCAAGAUUGCAGAUUUGGGUGUAUAUAAUUUCUAUCAUUGUCAUUCAUUUUUUGUGUCUAUUUCUGUGUACUUGCAAAUAGAAUAACAACAUAACAAAAUUCAAACAAGAUUCUUAUGAACUUGCAAAUAGAAUACACAAACAAAAAAGGAAUUUCAACGAAGAAUUACAUAGAUACUUCAAGGAUGAUUACAAAAGAUCUAAUGAAAGUAAAGGUUAUACGCACCAAAAUUCUAAGGUAACUCUAUUGAAUCUUUCUUUACAUAAAUCAUUCUAAACCAAUAGCUUAUAAAGUUUGAAUCUUUCGAAUCAACGUCCUCUUUGUCCCUGCAACACCAAAAGUCACAAGAUCUUGGACUUCAACAAUUUAAAUAAAGGAUUAGUGUUCAAUUGAAUAUAGCGAGAAAAAAAAAAGAGAAAAAUUUCACAUAUUUACCCCAUAAUAAAGACAUGCGCAAUAUAUUCUGCCGAAAUUAGUUGAAGUCCAAGAUGUCUUCAAACGAACUACAAAAUCAUGAUUGCAACGAACUUCUUGGUUCAAAGAAAAAUCAUUCUCUUCCAUACAAAAUUUAGACAAGUUAACCGAUCUCAUGAUAUGCUACAAAAUAAUUCAGUUCAUAAAUUUCAGACAAAAAAAGGACAAUAAAAUCUACCUAACAAAAGAAGAAGUUUACCUUUUUCAUAGGAAUGGAGAAAUCAGAAAGGAAAACAGAAGAAGAAGGAAAAAUAAGAGAAAAUUAACAAAAAUAAUGAAAUAACGGUCUUGAAUUUUUAAGCAAUUUCAAAUCAAAUUAAGGUCUGAGUUGAUUGAAGAUAAAGGAGAAGAGGAUCUAAGGUUUUGAAAUUGGAAUUAAGAGGUCGGUUUUUAAUGGAAAAGAAAAUGAUUGUUUUUUUUUAAUAAAUUAAUUCGAGUUAAGUUCAGAGCUUAACGCGCCUUGUUUGGCUGUGUUUACACUCAACCAUGAAGGGAGCAAAAUAAUACAUUUUAAAGUUCAUAAUGGGGGUAAAUAAUUACAUGCAUGUUAAGUUUAAUGGCUAAAAUAAGUUUUCGUGACAAUUUUAGGGGGAUAAACAUGUCUUUUCUCUUAAUUUUAUUUAAAUACUCAAAUUAUGAUUUGAUUCAAUUGAUCACCAGAACGCAUAAUAAAGUGUUUAUAUUGAAUUGACACUUCUGACAAAUUUUGUGUGAUUUGACAUAGAUACUUCAGAGACGCAUAAGAAUAAGUAGAAAAAUAAUUUUUCAAAAAUAAAAGUGUCUAAUAGGAAUACUUUAGGUAAAUUCUUACCAUAACAUUUUAUUUUACCUUAUAAUAGUAAAAAUAUUAAUUUAUUGUCCUCUAACACUUGCUAGCCACAUAUGAAUUGCUCCAUGUCAUAUCGAAAAGUUUUUGCUUUUUUUUUUCGUUCUAUAUAUAGCCUUAGUAUUUUUUCUUAAUUUAGUUUAAAGUAAUUUUUAAUGAUUUUAUAUGAUUUCGAAUGAAUAUAUUAUUUUUUUAUUAAAGUCUUUUUCGUAUUUAAUAAAAUUAUCAAUUUAUUAAUUAAUCAAAACAUAUAUUCUUUUAUAAUGUCAAAGUUAUUUUAUAAAAUUAAAUUCAUUGAAGCGAGAUACAUGCGCAGGACGCGAAUCCUAAACUAGUUAACUAAAAUAUUGGAUUCGUAGCUGAUAAGAAAGUUAGAUGCGUUCUUUUUCUAAAUGAGUUGUUACAACUUUAAUCUUAAUUUUACUUGUGUUCUUGAAACUAAAGUAGCAUGAAAUCGAAAAACAAAACUGAAUAAAAAAAAAGGAUAAGAAUAGUCCUUCAGCUAUAUUUUUGAAUCUGCAUCCCCCAAUAAAAAAUGGAGUAGUUCCACUAAUUAAUGAAAAUUAUUAGAGAUGUUGAAAAUUUUUUUGACAAAAAAGAAAAGUAUUUUUUUUUUGAAAAAAAAUCUGAGUAGUUAAAAAUGGAAAAAUGGGACAGUUUAAUCGGAAAAAUGGGACAGUUUGGGUGGCUGCCGUAACACUGUCUCGAUGAAAAUUCUAAAUCUUAUCUUCAAUAUCUAUAUAUCUACAUCUACAAGGAAAGAACGAAUACAAGUCAAUUGCUCAUUUUCAAACAAAAAUUGGCUUUACCAAAAGUUCAAUUAAUUUUCUCAUAAAUUAAUAUUGUAUGUAAUCAUAGUUACAAUAGAAAUAUUAUUUUAACGUUAGAACAAGGUAAAUUACGUGCUAAUUAAAACAAUUUAAUAAUGUUAUUAAAAAAAACAAAAAAAUCUAGAACUAAUUUUGUAAAUAUUGAUCGAUGGUCGCGAUAGAGCGAGAACGAAAUCUAGUAUAUUUAAUCUCAUCAGUUGUUGAACUCUGUAAUUAUUUAUAGAUAAGUAUAUGAGGUAAAAGUGAUUCAUUAAGGAUUGGCCGAUUGAUGAGAAAAAACCGAUUAAGUUGUAAAUUACAAUGGUUCAUUGAACUUUGAAUUGAUAGUUGCAUUAUUGAAUUGUUAAAUUGAAAUUGAAUCUUCUUGAAGGUAAUUAAUGCAUUGGUUGAAAAAUUUUAAAUUGAGGUUUCGAAUAUAAAUUCAAUCUUAAAUUUUGGAGACAAGUCUUAUAAGUUAAAACAUGAACUAAAUUAAAAGAAUAUUUGGACUUUGAAUUUAGGGUUGAACUUUGAACUUAGGAUCUAACUUUGAACUUAAAAUUGAAAAAAGAAAACUCUAAUUUGAAGCCAAUUAUCUGUAAUCUAUCUAUAUCUAUAUAUCUAUAUUCUAUAUAUAAUAUGUAAUAUAUAUAUAUAUAUUAUAUUAUAUAAUAUAUUAAAAGUGUGAAGAUCUUAGAAGAGGGAUUUGAACUUUUUACCCUUCGUUAAAAGACUCUUCUUUUGACAAAACUGUCUUUUCACUAUUUUCUUAAAUUUAUUAUUUAAUUAUUUUUUAUUAUAUUAAUUAAACUUCCUAAAAUAUAUAGAACUCCUAAAAUAUAUGAAAGGAGAAUUAAUUAAUAUUUUCUUUUCUGCUAUUCAAUUAGAAAAAACACUCCUAAAAUAGGACUCUAUUAAAGAAAUACGAAAUUCUAUUAAGGAAAAACAAACACAAUAAACAACAAAUAUCAAAAAUAAGAAAUUACAUGUAUAAGACCACCAACUUAAUCAAAGAGAUCAAAAGUACAUAUUUUAAUGGUUUGAAUAUAUCAUCAAAAUCAUAAUUUCUUAUCCAAUGAGAAAAAAGAAAAAGAAAAACAAAACCCAAAGUAAGGAGUCAAAAUAGAAAAGGGGAAAAAAGCUUUCGUAAAAACACGUGCAUGGCAUGAGGUGUCCACCACCUAAGGGAGACUCUUCCUUUUUCAAAUAUAAAAACAAUAGUAAUAAUUAAAAUUAAAAUAAAGAAAAUCCCUUUAUAUAUUACUUUAUACAUUACGUAAUUAUUAUAUUUUCAUACUUUAUAUUCAGCUCCUAAUUUUUUCUCCCAAAAAAAAGGUUGGUAACCCUGUCGAUUUCUUAGACUUUUUGAUUUCUAUCAUUAGUUAUAUACCAUGUUGUUCUAAUUUCAUGUUUUUUGUUUUUUGUUUUUUAUUUUUCUUAUGUUGUUUGUUUGUUUCCAGAAUAUGAUUGAUACUCAUCUAACUUGAUUCGAUUGCAUGUCCAAAUUGAUGGAUGCUUGAUUUUCUAACCCUCAACUUCUUCAGUGUUUUUGUCAAUAUAAUAGAAUUUAACAUGUGUAUAUAUAUAUCUUCUUUGUUUUCAUUUAUCAUUCUUUAGGGUCAAAAUUUUCGCUCAGACAAGAAUUAGUUUGAUCAAAAUCAAAGCUUUGUGAUCCCAACUAUAUUGUCUAUUGUAGUUUACAAGUCGUAGAUGAAUGUCGGUUGACUUUAAAGAAUUUUUUGUGUAAAGGUUAGAUUUAAUUGUAUUGUUUUGAUAUUUUUAUUAUCUUAUUAUUUUAUUUUAAUUUAUAGAUGGUAGAUGAAUAUCGUUCGGCUUGUAACAGUUAGGUUUAAUUGUAUUAUCUUAAUAUCUCUAUUAGUUUAUUAUUUUGGGGUAGUCUAUUAAUUUAUUAUUUUGGGGUAGUUUGCAAUUCGUAGAUGAAUGUUGAUUGACUUUGAGAAAUUUUUGUGUGUAAAAUUUAAGUUUAAUUAUAUUGUUUAAUAUCCCUUUUAUCGAAUUAUUUUAUUGCAGUUUAGGUGGUAGAUAAAUGUUGGCCGGAUUUGAUGAAUUUUUUUAGCUAAACGUUAGGUUUAAUUGUAUUGUUUUGAUAUCUCUACUUUGAGAUUUUUUUUUUUUAUGUAAAAGUUAGGUUUAGUUGUAUUAUUUUGAUAUAUCUAUUAUCGUAUUAUUUUGUUAUAAUUUACUGAUAGUAGAUGAGUGUCGAAUGACUUUUAGGAAAUUUUUGUGUGUAAUUAUUAGAUUUAAUUGUACUGUUUUGAUGUCUCUAUCAUUGUAUUGUUUUGUUGCAGUUUACAGAUGAUAGAUGAAUGUCAAUCGAUUUUUAAAAAUAUUUUUGGUGAAAGUUAGGUUUAAUAAAUACAUUCCCCAUCUUUACAUACUCAAAAUAUAUUAAAUUUAAUUAUUGUAUUCAUCUUUAUUAUUUAAACAAAUAUCCUAUUUAGUGUAAUGUUUGAACUCAUUAAAGUGAGGUACAUGCACAAGGCGCGUACACCUAAACUAGUUCUUUAAAAAAGUUCUUUCAAAGUGCUUUAAAAAUUGGGGAAAGGACAAAAAUAACACCUAAAACUAAAAUAAUUUCACAAAACUAGCACCUAAAUUUAAAAACCCAGAAAACAACACUCGAUCAUGGUGCCAAUGGAUAAAAAGGUAAGCAGAAAACGUGCAGCUCCACUUCCUAUGAUAUACCAAACAUAAAUAUGAUAUUAUCUUUGACCCAUUUUUUUUUAAAAUGUUCCACACAUACGUCAAUCUUUUUUUCUUUUUAUUGCAUAUACCUAACUAUAUGGAAUUCAACUUUUUCUUUUGCAAAGCAUAAGUAUUGAUUUUGCAUGCUAGUUACUUCUCGUUUUUUCACAUUUUUUUAAAACGCUAGUUUUUUUUUUUCUUUUUAAUUUUGCUGUUGUUUUUAUGUUCUAUUUUUUUAAAAAAAAAAAAUUUGAUGUUUCAUUCUAUUAUAAAAAAAAUCACUGCUCUUUUAUGUUUUUUUUCACUAUUUUUAUACUCCUUUUUUUGUAAUUUUUUUUUUAAAAAUCUAUUUCUUUUUGAAAUUAGCAUAACCACAAUUGUUAACUUUGAAACAUGCAUUAUGUAUAUCUAUGGAAUGAUGACAUUGACUAUCAAAAAAGCCCUGUGAAAGCUUUACUAUAAGAAACUUUAUUUGACCAAAACAAAUACAUAGGAUUUUGAGGAGAAGAUAAUGCAAUUCAAACUCAAAAUGGAGAACCUAACUCCAGCUUUCUUCAACAGUUCAACUGCAAUUCCCCAAAUCCGAAAACCAACCCACAAUAUUAUUGCAAGUCCAAAAGAGGACUAUAAAUAAAACAAGUCAAACAUCAAAAAGAAAAUAAAUAUAAACGUUCUAUACAAUUUUUAACUACAAUUAUUAUUUAGAUACAUAUUUUAUACGACUCUAUAUAGUUUCUACAUUCAUUUUAAAAAUGUAUCAAUCUAGUAUAAGAGAGUAUCAAUUGAGUAUAUGGACAUUGAAAGUGUAUCAAUGUAGUAUAAAAGUGUAUUAAUGUGGUAUAAAAGAGUAUCAAUUGGGUAUAGGGAUUGCAUGUGCUUGCAUAAAAUUUCCUUUCUCUUUUUCUAAAAAGUGUAUUAAUAUAGUAUAAAAAUGUAUCAAUGUGGUAUAAAAGUAUAUCAAUCGAGUAUAGAGACUGCAUGUGCCCAAUUGAGCCAAAUGACCAAAAAAGGGGAUUACUUUAGCCGACUGACUACAACAUAUCCACCUUUUCAAUUAUGGGCCAUUUUGUUUUAGAAUGGUCAUGCCAUGUCCUUUUUCCUUAAAAAUUAAGUAGAAUAAAAGUACAAUUAAAUUUCUAAAAUAAUAAAAAUAUCAAGUAUUUAUAUGAAAGUUACUAAAAAAAAAAAAGACAGGCAGGAAUGAAUUUUUUAUUUCUUAUGUAUAUUCUGUAUAUCAUGAUCCUAUAUAUAUACAAAGGAUUACUUAGAGAGAAAUUUAUCAUAUGUAACAAACUUGGAGAAAAAUCUACCCUAUGCACCAAACUUAAUAAGGAAAAGAAAUAAGAAAAUUAUUAACACUAGUACAAUGUCUAAACUAUUCUUGUACAUUAUUCGAGAAACAAGCCAAUAAAUCCUACAGAAAAAAAGUAACAACUGGACAAUUUUCAACCAACACCUGCUAAUUUUUAACGGAAAAGGCUCAAAAAUACCUCUGAAUUAUCCGAAAUAGCUCAAAAAUUCCCUUCGUUAGAUUUUUGGCUAAAAAAUACCCCUCCGUUAAAUAUUUUGAGCCAAAAAUCUAACUAGGGGUAUUUUUGAGCUAUUUCAGAUAGUUCAGGGGUAUUUUUGAGCCUGUUUCGAAUUUUUAAUAAAGAAAAAAAGAAGACCAACUUAUAAAUUUCUUCUGUAUGCAUUCGUCGUUUACUUCUGGCGACUGAGACACCCAUUUUUAUCUCCUAUUUAUCUUUAUCUUCUCCGGCAACACCCCUUUCUAUUGGGUAGCCGUUGAUCGGACACCCGAAUUGUAAGGCAAAAAAUGAUGAACUGGACUGGAGAGUGCCUUUGCAAACAUAUCAGCAAGUUAAGUUGCAAAAGGUAUGAAAGAGAGGAAAAUGAAACUAUUGAGCAAUUUGUCAUAGACGAUGUGGCAAUCAAGUUCAAUAUGCUUUGUUCGUUCGUGUAAAAUUGGGUUUUUGCCGAUGUAAAUAGCGGAUUGACUGUCACAAUGAAGAGGCACAUGCGAAAUUAGAGAGGCAUAGAGAUCAAGGAGAAGAUGAACAAUCCAAGUAAUUUCUGCAAUUAAUCAUCUCAUUCAGCGAUAUUUAAUCUCAGUAGAAGAAAUUGCUACAACCUGCUGCUUCUUGGAUUUCUAAGAUAUUGAAGACCAAUCCAUAUUGAGAAAAAGCAUACUUACUGAGCGGCGAGAGUCAGAUGCCUAACCAGAGUCGCAAUAAGCUUAUAGUUUAAAAGAUGGAUCAGAUAUAAGAAAAAAGGUUUAACCCAAUGUCCUUGCAAAAAUAUCUGUAAAGCUCCGAGUCUGUACUCAGGGCGCUACACGGUGCUCAUAAUCCCGAAGGACCACAAGCUAACCCAUGACUGGUACCUGCUGCAAUAACUGAAUAAUAACACUGUAAUAUGUGGAAAUUAGGCGGAAACUUGCUAUAGGUUCAAUACUAAAAUAAAACUGAAUACGGUAUAACAAUACCAAAACUGAAACAUCUGUCUGAAAAUACUCGUCUGGAAAGCCUCUAAACUGUCUGAAAUAAGAAGUUGAUGGGACAAGUCCCUAACUAACUCUGGUUACUGAAAUAAACUGAGAUGCUGAAAUAAUAAUCAUGUCCUCAACUAUGAGGACUCACUAUUAACUCUGACUGCUGAAAAUCUGUAACUGCUAGGGAUGAUUGGAAGUCCAUGCGUCUGAACCUAUGAUAUAAAACAUUAUAACGCAAGAGAAAAGUAUGCGUCAGUACUUUGAAUGUACUAGUAUGCUAAGUGAGGUAGGCUGAAAUGCAUGGGUUCAUAUGCAUGAACAAUACUGACUGAAUGACAUGAAUAUAACUGAAUGAGAGUACAUGCAUGAAUACGUAAAUUGUAACUGAGAUCAUGAUAACACUGAAUACUGAGUCUGAAUACUAAUUGACUAAUAUCUGAGUAUACUAAUACUGAAUGACUGUAUCUAAUAGUCUUGAUUUGAUAGAACUAUACUGAGUUCCAUACUGAGCUGAGUGACUGUGUUUGACAGUCCUGAAUCUAUAGAAUUGAACUAAGUUCUAUUCUGAGACUAGAAUUGAAACUAAGACUAUGGGAGGUAAUCAUCUAACCGAUAUGCCCCUUUCUAAAUAGAUUGGGGUCCAACCUGUAACCCAGUUGGAAGGGUUUCAAUACCGUGCCACGGCUAAAGAAAAGCUGUGAGUUAACCCUCUCUGACAGGAAGCUCUUUUGUCAACCUUCGCUAGCAGAAAAACUUGAAUGAGAUGUAUCAACCCUCAUAAUAUCUGGCAGAAAGAUAUCUCAACCUACGCUGGCUACGUAGUUCUAUAACGCAGGGAUUUCUACUAAGGGUCAAACCCUCUUCUGGUAGGAAUGCCCCCAUCUUUGGAUUGACUCGAUGCUGAAUCCUACUCCCAUCUGAAUAGACACUAAACUGAUUUGCCUAGUUCAUACUGGGAUUGACUGAACUGUUACUGAGUUUACUGAGUUCCGUUGACUGACAGAAUACUACUGAAUUCUGUUAGCUGACUGAGUUUACUAAAAUCUGAACUGAAUACUGAACUAGAAUGGACUGAUACCGACUCUACUGAGUUUUUCUCGAGUUUUGUAACUGACUGAGUGUACUACUGAUCGUGACAUGACUGAUACUAUCCUGAGACUGACAUGGCUCUAGGUAAUUAGUUAAAUUAUCGGGUAUUAAAUAUCCUAGGACUCUAUAGCAUAAAUUGUAAGACAUGGCACAAUCUUGAAACAUGAUAAAUAAUCUACUUGAUCAUCAUUCAUUCAUUGGGACAUUCUAGCAAACACUUGCAUGACAUGAGCUUGAAUAUAUGCUAACAUGACAUAAUUCUAUUAUUUAAUUAUCAUGAACAACUCAUUAAACACUUGGAAAGCAUUUUAUAUGCACAUAGUACUAAUCAACACAUGAACAUCAUAAUUUCAAGGCUUUAACAUGAAUUCACAUGAUACUACAUACAUAAUAGUUGUUUUGACAUAAGUCUUUCACUUAAUCAUGGAAUAGAAAUCUAAUCAACAUUAUAAUCAUGAAUACACUUGAAUCCAAAUCAUGGGAAGCAUGAAAUCAAGCUACUUGAAGUUUAAAAGAGUUUCUUAGACUCCAAGGGUGGAAGGGACCCUUGGAUGAACACUUGACAUACCUUGAUUGCUAAAUUCCUGAAGAUUAAUGGUGGAAUCUUGAGCCUUGAAUUUGAAAUUCAAUCACCUAGGGUUUAUGUUCUUGAACAAUUUGUGAAAUACUGAGUGUAUGUUGCAAAUAGAAGGCUAAAUUUUGUAUUUUUGGGGACUGAAGGACGUGGGAAAAAGACCCAAAUACCCCUAAGGAUGAGGCUUUUAAUGACUGAAAAAUUGAAUUGUUGAUGCGCAGACCGAUGCACCGCAUCGUUGGCAUCAAUAGAUGGCCGACGUACUGCGUCGAGUCCACAUUGAUUCACUGGAAUUUACACUGAGUUGAGGGAAAAAUUAUCUGUCGAUGCGAUGGACGACGCGACGCGUCGAAAUCGCGUAGACUUGUUGUUUUAGUCACUUGAACAUUGUCUAAGCGAGGUCUGAAAAAUUCAAAACUUGUCCGAGAAUACCUACUGACAUUCCUGAUCAUGAAUUAAUUUAAAAAUCGAUAUUUACAGUAAUAGGAGUCGUGAAAUAGAGUUGCCAAGUUACGAAGGCCAAAAUAAUAUUAAGUCUGAAUACUUAGCUAGAAAUUUCUAAGUUUGGGACCCCCUUAGCAAGCCUAAAAGAUUAAGUUGAGCUUAGGAUUUUGUGGGGUCUUACAAUAUCUCCCCCUUGGGAAUAUUCAUCCUCGAAUGAGACUGAUUAGACCGAGAAUACUAAUAGAUUGGAUUUAGACACUGGACAUGCACCAUUGAAGCAUGAUUUUAUGACUGAAAUUACUGAUAUACUGAGUUAUCAUACUGAACAUGCAUAUCUGAUGCAUGAGUGUAUAGCUGAACAUGAUUCAUGAAUGCAUGACUGGAUUCUUGAUAAACUAAGCUUAUAUACUGGACACACAUGUCUGAUGCAUGAGUACAUGACUAAACUGAUUCGUGAAUUCAUGACUGAGUGUGCAACGUUAAUUGAUACCAAGUUGGUAGCUAUUUCUGAACAUAAGACUGGUAAACUCAAAGGAAAAUUGUUACCUUGGACUGAGUCUGAGCUUGUGGAGAAGAGGUAAGGAUACUUGGUCCGCAUGUCUGCUUCUACCAAGGAACUUUGACUAGAGGGACUUCUUUGUUCCUCAGUCUGCGAAACUAAUAAUCAAGGAUUUCGAAUGGGAUCUCUUCAUAAGAGAGGCUGUUCUGAAUAUCUAUGCCCUCUAUAGGGACUACGACUAUUGGGUCACCUAUGCAUUUCUUUAGCAAGGAUACAUGGAAUACUGGAUGCACUGAAGCUAAGUCUGAAGGCAACUCAAACUCGUAAGCUACCUUUCUGAAACGGCUGAGAAUUCGAUAAGGACCGAUAUAUCAGGGACUGAGUUUCCUCUUCUUGCCAAACCUCUUCACUUCUUUCAUAGGAGAGAUUUUCAAAUACAUAAAAUCACCAAUCUCGAACUCGAUAUCCUUUCUGCGUACAUCCGCAUAUGAUUUCUGUCGGCUUUGAGCUGUCUUAAUCCUUUCCCUGAUCAACUGAACUUUCUUUGAGGUAUCGAAUACCAAUUCAGGCCCUACCACUGCGGCCUCACCCACUUCAAACCAACUAAUAGGAGAUUUACACCUCCUUCCAUAAAGUGCCUCAAAUAGAGCCAUCUGAAUACUGGAAUGAUAGCUGUUGUUGUAUGCGAAUUCAAUCAAAGGCAAGUAGUCAUCCCAACUACCUUUAAAGUCUAUCGCACACGCUCGCAACAUAUCUUCUAAAGUCUAAAUGGUCCUUUCUGCUUGACCAUCUAUCUAAGGAUAAAAGGCUGUACUGAGGUAAACUCGGGUACCAAGACCCUUUUGGAAUGCCUUCCAGAAAUGAGAGGUGAACAGGGUACCUUUAUUGUAAUACCACAUAUUUUUCCUAGCUUAAAUUAGUCCCUAGAAUGUCAAAAAUUUGCUUCAAAGAUGAAUACCAUUUAUUUCGUGUGGUAUUUGUAAGAUUUUUUACUUUUUAUUUUGUGGGAAAUUAAAUAAGCUUUCCAUCGAUAUCAAAUUCGCCUAAAUCCUACACUCAGUGAAGGAGUUAUGACAUUUCUAAGUUGACAGUUUAUCACCUGGACUCUCAGCACGUUGUGGAGAUAAGAAAAAUGGAAAUCGUCAAUUCCAGUGGACUUUCGUGAUAUUGGCGCAUCGUAGAGUGGUCCAUUUUCCCAAUUGUCCUAUUCUAGUAAGACUCCGCAAUUCUGGUGCAUCGCGCCAAUGUCCAAAAUGACAAAACUUCAGGGCAUCGCGAUGGUGGUGCGUUCGGAGAAAGCCAAGUUCCCAUUCGUUAGUUUCCAGUGAGCCACCACGAUAGUGGCGCAUCGUGGUGGUCCAUAAAAUCGGGAUCCUAGUUCAUUUUUUUCAGUUUUGUUUAGAAGUUAAAAGGGGUAUUUUGGACUUUUUCCAGCCCCCAAUUCCAUCCAAACAUGAGAUUAAAGGUUAUUACAAGCAUCUUAUGAUAUAUUUCUCAAAAUCUCUCUCAACCAAAAUCCUAAGCUUUAUCAUUCAACCUCAAGAAUCCCAAGAUUUCACCAUCCUUUUUCAAAAUUAAUUCAAGAUUCAAGAUUUCCUACUCAAGAAUUGGAAGAAUCAUCAUUCAAGAGCACAAAUAGGAUCUCAAAAGUAAGCUUGUUCUUCUAGUUCAUCAUCCAAGGUAUGUGGGGGUUUUGAACAAGGAUAAAUCUUUCAUCCUUGUGUCAAAAAACUUACCUUAAAUUAUAAAUUGCUGAGUUUUGUAUGUCUAAGUACUGCUUGAACACUCAGUUCAUCAAGUCUAUGAAGGAUGCUGGGGCAUUUGUAAGACCAAAGGAAUGACUAAAAAUUUGAAGUGACCAUACUGAGUUCGGAAAGCUAUUUCUGGAAUGUCACAUUCUUUGACUUUAAGCUGAUGAUAGCCUGAUCUAAGGUAUAUCUUGGAAAAGUAAAUGGCACCUUAAAGUUGGUCAAACAAGUCAUCAAUUCUAGGAAGUGGGUAUUUAUUCUUGUCUGUGACCUAGUUCAAAUGAUGGUAGUCAAUAUACAUUCCGAGAGAACCAUUUUUCUUACGCACGAAUAGAAAAGGUGUGCCCCACGGGGAGACGCUGGGUCUUAUGAAUUUAUUAUCUAAGAGAUCCUUCAACUAUUCUUUUAGUUCUUUGAGUUUAGCUGGAGCUAUUCCGUAUGACGAAAUAGAUAUAGGCUGAGUAUCUGGGAGAAUGCCUAUUCUGAAGUCGAUUUCCCUUUCGAAAGGAACUCCGGGAAGCUCUUCGAGAAAAAUAUCUGAGAAUUCAUUUACUACUGGGACUGACUCAAGAGUAAGGGUAUAUGAGUUCGAGUCUUUGACUCACACAAGAUGGUAGACACACCUCUUGGAUAUCAUCUUUUUAGCUCUAAGGUAUGAAAUCAACUGACUCCUAAGUGUUGUAGUACUACCCCUCCAUUCAAGGACUGGUUUAUUUGGAAAUUGAAAAUGAACUAUUCUAUUUCUACAAUCAACUAAGGCAUAGCAUGAGUGGAGCCAAUCCAUGCCGAGAAUGACGUCAAAAUCCAUCAUCUCUAACUCUACGAGAUCAACUGGAGUAACUUUUUGAGCUAUUGUGACCGGACAGUUCCUGUAUACCUGUUUUUAUACAAUAGAAACACCCACUAGGGUAGACACUGAAAAGGGCUCUGCUAGAGUUUCAAGACUGACUCUAAAAUUGACAGCUAUAUAUGGAGUUACAAAAGAAAAAGAAGCUCCAGGGUCUAAUAAAGCAUAAAUAUGUAUGUGAAAGACCUGCAACAUACCAGUAACUAAGUCAGGAGAAUUUUCUUGAUCUUGGUGGGACUGAAGAGCAUAUAAUCUGUUCGGACACUGACCACUGGUAGCACUAGAAGCGACACCCUACUGAUUUGGGCGACCAGAUGGAACAGAUGACUGAUGGGACUGGCCCUGUUGGCGUGGAUCCCUACCUUUCUGGGCAACUACUCGACACUCUCAAAUUCGAUGGCCUGGCUUGCCAUACCCGAAUCACACAUCACUAACUUCCCUAUACUCACCCUGAUGGUGUUUGCCAUACUUCUGACAUAUAAGAUUAGUACGAGCACUGCUAACACUAACCUAGGACUUAGAGCCUGGUGCCCUAUCCCUAUUAUCAUUUCUGAAUUUGGGUACUGGGGCACUAGCUGAAGAAGGUACUGGGGCUGAAGACCUCUGAUGAAACUGAGAACGGUUACCACCUUCUAACUUUGGCUGACUAAAGCUAAAAUUACCCGUUCUAGCUCUCUUGUUUCAUCUCUUCCUCUCUUUAAACUUCUUCUCCUUUAUCUAUUGAGCAUGGAUCAUCAACCUAGACAAGUCUAUCUCACUAAUCAGCAUUGUAGUCCUACACUCCUUGACCACACUAUCAAACACGCUAGACACAAACUUACUCAUCUUGGACCUAUUGUCAGCUACCACAUGAGGAGCAUACGUAGAUAUCUGAGUGAACUUGAGAGAUACUCCCUUACACUCAUGCUUCCUUGCCUCAAGUUAAUAAACUCUUCCCAUUCUAUAGGUUCUGCAUCAACACCUCUAUCAACUCUCUACUACUUAAACCAAGUAUAGGCUAUAUCCUGCAAUUGAUAUGCAGCCAACUCAACACCCUAACUAGAUGUUAAUCCUAGAGCAUCCGUUACCUUCUAAACCAUAUCUAAGAAUUCCUGUUGAUUUUCUUCAAACUUGGACCCUGUAAAAGAAGGAGGAUUCAUCUAGGUGAAAUCCCAAAUUCUACUUGUAGUAGUAUUAGCCACUGGAUUAGCCAUAACAGUAGCUAUCCAUUCAUUCUAUGCUGCUAAGAAGUUCGCUAGAGUAGUGAACGCAGUCAUAAAUUCUGCGUGAGAGACAUGCUCGUCUAAAGGAUCUACAUGGACGGGCUGAGGGGAUGGCUCAUUUCCUAUUUUUCUUUCAUUUUUCUUGGGAUGCACAUUCUGUAAAUGGAAAGAGGAAACGGAUUAGACUGAUAGUUUAACUUGAGCUUAUGCUCACUCGCACGAUAUGAAUACUGAAAGAAGGGACACUUUUCCUAAACGCCUUGUAGCCUCUCAUCCAUAAGUGUGGCGCACUAUACACCCAUGCACAAGACUCUACUCCAUGCGGCUUUCAGACUUCCUAGGUCACUUUAAAACCAUAGGCUCUGAUACCAAGUUUGUAAUGACCCAAGACUACCCGCUAGUUAUUACACGGUGCUUACGGUCUCGAGGGACCACAAGCUAACCCAUGAGCUGGUACCUGCUGUGAGCACUGAAUAAUAACAUCAUAAAUAUAGAAAAAUACUGACAUUGACUUAAGGUUUAUCAACUGGAUUCAAUACUUAAAUAUAAAUCUAGGAAAGACAACUGUCUGAAUCUGAGAAAAUACUGAUAAACUAAAUAACUAACUGACUGUAGUGUUCGAAAAGCCUCUAAGACUGACUGACUGAGAGUUGAUGGGACAGGCCCCCAACUAACUCUACUAACUCCUGAAAUAAAGACAUGAAAUGAUAAGAUCUGUCCUUAAAUAAUGAAUACUCACUACUGCUACUAUACUAGCUGGGAAUCUGGAAAUCUAGGUGCGAUCCAGGAACUAAGUGUUAGCACCUAUGAUAUGAGACAUCAUAACGCAAAAUAAAAGUAUGCGAUUAGUACUUUGAAUGUACUGAUAUGCUAAAUGAGGUAGGCUAACAUGCAAGGUUUCAUGAAUAGGAGUAAUGAUCUAUCUGAGUAUACAUGUAAGGCAUGGGAUACUAAAUAGAGAAUAUGAAAUCUAUAGAUACUAAACAUGCAUGAAAGUCUGUAAAAUACUAAAAAUGUAUGAAAAUCUAUAGACACUGAAGAUGCAUGACCAAACAUAUGACAUGAACUGAAUAACAUUUGUAAUCACUUAAAUACUGAAAUAAUUGAAAUCUGUAUGCUUUGGUCAAACAAUACUGAGACUGAAUAACUGAAUUGGAACUAGAACUGAGACUAUAUCUGAGAAUGUGAGAGGUAUCAUCUAACCGACAUUCCCUGAUCUGAGCUAAUUGAGGACCAACCUGUAACCCUAGUUAGAAGAGUGUUAAUACCGUACCACAGGUACUAACGCUAGGGUUUCUUGUUCUUGAGAAAAGGGAUCUUUAAUUUUUGAAGAACAAUUGAAUAAUGAUGACUACUUAGGGUGUUUAGGGGUUAAAUUUCCUCUUUUAGGUUAAUUAGGGCCGUGGAAAAGAAUCAAAUACCCUUAAACAAAUUUAAAAAUAGAAGCUAAAAACUGACCAUCCCGAUUUUUGGCCUUGGCGCGAUGCACCACUAUCGCGCCAAGCCACUGGAAAAGGGACAACUGGGAGCUGAGGGCAUGGCAUAACCCGGAGGAAUCACAGUGCCCUUUUGAUUCUAAAAUUAACCCUUAGUGCGAUGUGCCAUUAUCACGAUAGGACAUUGGAAAAAAACAAUUGGGAUUUUGGCCGACGGCGCGACGCGGUGGUUUCUUGGUGCUUCACUGGAAAUUGACAAAUGGGAUAUUGUCCUGCUCCACGAUGCGCCAUGAUCAUGGAGUCAUACUAAAAAUAAACAAUUAUCAUUUGGGCUGCCUACGUGACGCGCUAAGGGGUAAAAUGAUGGUGCUUUACGACUAAAACUUUAAAUCUCCAUAACUUCUUACCCGGUUAGUGGAUUUAGGCAAAUUUUAUAUCAUUGGAAAGAUAACUGAAUUUCCUAUGCAAUGGUAGGCUAUAAACUGCAAAAUAAUAAGUGUUUAAAAUAUUUUAUAUAUAAAUACUCAUGUAUAGGGACUUAGAUUACGCUAGGAAAAUGCGGGGUGUUAUAAGACCUUAAACUAUGUUAAGUUCCAGUACUCAUGCAAAACUCUUAAUGAUCAGUGAAAUUCAGAUUUAUAUCAUAUACGUCCUCAGAUUUGAUCUCUUUAAUGAACCCAUGUCGUGAAUACUCUAUUUCUCAGGCCUCAAUAAGGUGUCAAGUUAUACAUAGUAUCCCUUUACAUUUCAGGUCUCAUGUUCCAGCCUUUUAGUGACUCCUCCUUAUGUAAGGAUAGUAGUGAUGAGUAAAUGUUUCUUGUUGAUAAAAGGUGGUUGUAUGCUUAUCCAAGCUAAGAUAGUUAAUGUGAAGUAAGAUUGAAGCCAAGUCUUUGAUACAUGUCAUGGUUAGAUGAAAUUAUAUGUGUUAUGUCUGGAAAGAUUUUUGUAAGCUGGUUUUAUGUAAGUCUAUAAGUUAGGAUGAAUUUUUAAGGUGAAGUUCAUUUUCAUGUGUAUGACUCGGUUAGUUGAGAAUAUUUCAUGUGUAUCAUUCUAACAAUUUAAUGGUGCAUAAAGGUUGUUAUUGAUAGAGGUAUUAGAGAUUAUGAGAGAGAUGCUCUUAUGGGUAUUUGUUUAGAAGUGCAUACGUGGAUAUAAAAAUAGGCUUGAAUUUUAUGUUGAUGUAUAAGAGGAUAGGCGAGUAGUGCAUUAAUGAAUUUCCUAGUAAGAGGUUGAAUUUGUUAUAGAAGUGAUAAGAAGAAUUAUCUUAGAGAUGAGUAGUUACAACAAUGCUUGGGGUAUUUAAUCCAUGGUUCAGACUAGUAUUAUGGAGUUAUCAAUGCCAUGUGAGGAUUAUAAGUUGAAUCAAGUGAUUAUAAUAUUUAAGGGAAUAGUAUAGUUGAGGGAGUGUUUCACAAGUGUUGCUAAGCUUGAAAAUAAGAAGUUGCAUUGGUUAAGGCCUAGCAAAUCAAUUCUAUCCCAGUGUAUGGUUUAUGGGUCUAUGUUCCAUGCUAUAGAAUGGUAGCACUGUUGUAAUCUCUUAUUUAGAGGUUUUGUUCAGAUCAUGCCCGGAGUCCUUUACUCCCUAAUAUCGUUAGAACUUUAUAGAAGAGUGUUGAAGAAAUACUCCAUCUGAGUAUGAGCAUUCAGUAUGAUUCAGUCAGUGUAGCUAGAAAUCCAGUCUAAUAGUUAGACAGACGAAUCUCUAUAGUUUUUUCAUCUUUCAAUUUAGUUCAGUCUCACUACCUGAAAUUUCGUGAGUAUGGACAUUUCAAGUGGUAAUUUGUUCGUAUCUAUGUAAAUUACAGAUCCAUCUUAGUAUAUACAUCAGGCAUCAAUUUUUGAUUUAGAUAUUAAGCCAAAGCCACGAUUCCGUUCAUAAGUAUCCUGCGUAUCAUCUCAGUCUUCUCCAAGCAUUUCAACCAAAUCCGUAUCAUUUAUGUAAGUCUAUAAGUUAGAAUGAAUUUUUAAGGUGAAGUUCAUUUUCAUGUGUAUGACUCGGUUAGUUGAGAAUAUUUCAUGUGUAUCAUUCUAACAAUUGAAUGGUGCAUAAAGGUUGUUAUUGAUAGAGGUAUUAGAGAAUAUGAGAGAGAUACUCUUAUGGGUAUUUGUUUAGAAGUGCAUCUGUGGAUAUGAAAAUAGGCUUGAAUUUUAUGUUGGUGUAUAAGAGGAUAGACGAGUAGUGUAUUAAUGAAUUUCCUAGUAAGAGGUUGAAUUUGUUAUAGAAGUGAUAAGAAGAAUUAUCUUAGAGAUGAGUAGUUACAACAAUGCUUGGGGUAUUUAAUCCAUGGUUCAGACUAGUAUUAUGGAGUUAUCAAUGCCAUGUGAGGAUUAUAAGUUGCAUCAAGUGAUUAUAAUAUUUAAGGGAAUAGUAUAGUUGAGGGAGUGUUUCACAAGUGUUGCUAAGCUUGAAAAUACGAAGUCGCAUUGCUUAAGGCCUAGCAAAUCAAUUCUAUCCCAGUGUAUGGUUUAUGGGUCUAUGUUCCAUGCUAUAGAAUGGUAGCACUGUUGUAAUCUCUUAUUUAGAGGUUUUGUUCAGAUUAUGCCCGGAGUCCUUUACUCCCUAAUAUCGUUAGAACUUUAUAGAAGAGUGCUGAAGAAAUACUCCAUCCGAGUAUGAGCAUUCAGUAUGAUUCAGUCAGUGUAGCCAGAAAUCUAGUCUAAUAGUCAGACAGACGAAUCUCUAUAGUUUUUCCAUCUUUCAAUUUAGUUCAGUCUCACUACCUGAAAUUUCGUGAGUAUGGACAUUUCAAGUGGUAAUUUGUUCUUAUCUAUGUAAAUUGUAGAUCCAUCUUAGUAUAUGCAUCAGGCAUCCGUUUUUGAUUCAGUUAUUAAGCCAAAGCCACAAUUCAGUUCAUAAGUAUCCUGCGUAUCAUCUCUGUCUUCUCCUAGCAUUUCAACCAAAUCCUUAUCAUUUGGAGACGAACGAUCCCAAAUGGGAGAUAUUGUAAUGCCCCAAGUUUUCAUAAAGUUUUCAUAUCAUAAAUCUCUCAUUCUUUUCUCAUGAAAUCAGAUCUAGCCUAAGGUAAUGGUUAGUUAUAAGUUGACGCUCUUGUUUCUAUCUCAGCCAUAUGACUAUUCUUAUGAAAGUUCAUGCACUCACAGGUCAGUUCAGUAUCCCACUACGCUGGGAUUCAUUCAUACAAUUUAUUUAAGUUGAGUAUGAUAUCUUAUAGCCUCAGAUUCCUUAGUAAUUUCAGCCUAAUUAGCCAUAUUCGAGGAUGAAUAUUCCCAAGCGGGAGAUAUUGUAAUACCCCAUAUUUUUUCUAAAUUAAAUUCAUCCCUAGAAUGUUAAGAAUUUUCUUUAAAGAUGAAUACCAUUUAUUUCGUGAGGUAUUUUCAAGAUUUCAACUUUUUAUUAUUUAAAAAAUUAAAUAAGCUUUCCAUCGAUACCAAAUUUACCUAAAUCCGACACUCAGUGAAGGAUUAUGACAUUUCUAAGUUGACGGUUUGUCACCUGGACUCUAAGCGUGUCGUGGAGCUAAGCAAAAUGGAAAUCGUCAAUUCCAGUGGACCUUCACGAUAUUGGCGCAUUGGGAAGUGGUCCAUUUUCCCAAUUGUCCCAUUCCAGUGCGACUCUGCGAUUCUGGCACGUUGUGGCAAUGUCCAAAAUGACAAAACUUUAGGGCAUCACGAUGGUGGAGCAUCGCGGAGAAAGUCCAGUUCCCAUUCGUCAGUUUCCAGUGAUCCACCGCGAUAGUGACGCAUCGCAGUGGCCCAUAAAAUCGGGGCCAUAGUUCAUUUUUUUCAGUUUUGUUUAGAAGUUAAAAAGGGGUAUUUUGGACUUUUUCCUAGCCCCUAAUUCCGUCUAAACAUGAGAUUAAAGGUUAUUAAAAGCAUCUUAUGAUAUAUUUCUCAAAAUCUCUCUCAACCAAAACCCUAAGCUUCAUCAUUCAACCUCAAGAAUCCCAAGAUUUCACCAUCCUUUUUUCAAAUUAAUUCAAGAUACCCUACUCAAGAAUUCCAAGAAUCAUAAUUCAAGAGCACAAAUAGGAUAUCAAAAGCAAGCUUGUUCAUCUAGUUCAUCAUCCAAGGUAUGUGGUGUUUUGAACAAGGAUAAAUCUUUAAUCCUUGUGCCCAAAAUCUUACCUUAAAUUACAAAUUGCUGAGUUUUGUAUGAUUUCUCAUGAAAUUUAAAUUAGGGUUUAUACCCAACAUUGCUAAUUGCAUGACUUUAAGAUUUUAAGUAAUUUGGAUAUUGAAUUACAUGUCUACCUUUGAAAAUUAAUGCGUAUGAUCAUAUUUUCCAGAUUUUAAGCUGAAUUAUGAAUAUUUGUAUUAUCAAGCAUGAACCUUAUGGUGUUUGACAUGAAAUUGAAGCAUGGGUCAUUAUGCCAUAGUUUGUAUGUUGACAUUUCUAGAAUGACUAUGUUUUAAGUAUCCCAUGAUUAGCUAUUUUCAGAUUUUGAUAAAUAAAGUUGAUCUAUUGAUCCAAGCAAAGAUAGGAAUCCAUAUUAUUCAUACAGUUUAUGAUUUAAAGCAAAGAGAAGUAUAAUUGUCUUUCUUUAUAAAACCCUUGUGCUGUUUUAAGGUGGAUUUCCUAAAAGUUUUGGGCAAUAAGUAUGAGAGUAGUAUUUAGCACCGAGUUGGGUAUGAUUCCAAGGUCUUAUGCCCCAGAACUAUGUACCACCGUAGGUUUCUGAUUUUCCCAGUGGGUUAAGAUAGUGAUCACUUAAGUUAAGGUUCUAUUCCGAUGGUAAGGGUAUAGCUCUCCCCAACAUGGGUAAGACGUUGGACUCCAUGUCAACUCACAUAGUUUAUGUCGGUUAGAAGAAACUCCCCAAGUCAAACAAGUCAUUGAUUCUGGGAAGUGGAUACUUGUUCUUGAUCGUGACUUUAUUUAGCUGAGGGUAAACAAUACACAUUCUGAGAGAACCGUCUUUCUUACGCACGAAUAAAACUGGGGCUCCCCAUGAGGACACACUGGGUCUGAUAAACCCCUUAUCUAGGAGAUUCUUUAACUAUUUUUUUAAUUCUCUGAGUUCUGCAGGUGCCCUUCUGUAUGGCGGAAUAGAUAUGGGUUUAGUAUUUGGAAGAAGGUCUAUUCCGAAGUCGAUUUCCCUUUUAGGAGGAACUCCGAGGAGAUCUUCGGGAAACACAUAUGGGAAUUCACAUGCUACAGACACUGAUUCAAUAGUAGGGAUUUAUGAACUAGAGUCCUGGAUUCAAAUGAGAUGAUAGACGCAUCCUUAGAUAUCAUUUUUCUUGCCCGAAGGUAAGAAAUAAGCUGACCCCUAAGUGAUGAAGUACUCCCCUCCACUCAAGGACGAGUUCAUUCAGAAACUAGAACUGGACGAUUUUGUUUCUGCAAUCGUCCAAGGCAUAAGAGGAAUGAAGCCAAUUCAUACCAAGAAUGACAUCAAAAUCAGUUAUCUCUAAUUUGACUAAGUCUGCUGAAGUGACUUUCUGAGAUACCAUAACCGGACAGUUCCUAUAUACCCGCAGUUCCUACUAGGAUUUCGAGACUGACUUCGAAGUUAACAUCUAUAUAAGGAGUAACAAAGAACAAACAAACUCCUGGAUUUAGCAAAACAUAUAUAUAUAAAUGAUAAAACUUGUAACGUACCAGUGACCACAUCAGGAGAACUCUCCUGAUCCUAUCGGAACUGAAGUGCGUAGAGUCUGUUUGGGUGCUGCCCACUGGUGGCACUGGAUGUGGCACCCUGCUAAUUCGGGUGACCAGACUGAGCUGGGGGACAAUUUUACUAACUCUGAGAACCCACUUAAGGAUACUGUCUGACCCUGUGGACUGGAUUACCACAUCUGAAACACACAUCACUUCCAGCUCUGCAGAUACCUUAAUGGUUUCUACCAUACUUUUGAUAAAGGGGAUUAGUUCGAGCACUGCUAAUACUACCCUGGGGUUUAGGGACUGAUGCCCUAUCUCUAUUUCUAUCUCUGAAUUUCGGCACAGGAGCACUGGCUGAGGACAGAGCUGGAACUGAGGAUUUUGAGCAGAACUGAGAAUAAUUCCCACCCUCUGACUUAGGCUGAGUGAAGUUGAAACUAACUGUUCUCACUCUCUUAUUCUCUCUCUCCUUCUCUUUAUUCUUAGCCUCCUCUAUCUGAUGAGCAUGGACCAUGAUCCUGGAUAUGUCCACUACCUUAAUUAACAUUGCGGUCCUCAACUUUUUGACCACACUAUUAGACAUGCUGGACACAAACUUACUCAUCUUAGAUCUACUAUCUGCUACCACAUGAGGGGCAUAUCUGGCUAAUUUAGUAAACUUAAGAGAAUACUCUUGUACCAUCAUGUUUCCCUGAUUUACAUUUAUAAACUCCAAAAUCUUCGCUUCCCUCAACUCCAACGGGAAAAACCUAUCCAGAAAAGCAACAGCAAAAUCCUCCCAUUCUAUGGGCCCUGCAUCUGCGGUUCUUUUUGCUUUCCACUGUUUAAACCAUGAGUGUUACACAUCCUGCAACUGAUAUGCGGCCAACUCAGUUCUCUCAACAACAGCCACUCCCAUAAUAUCUGUAAUGUUUUGCACCUGAUCAAGAAACUCCUGAUGGUCCUCAUCUAAUUUAGACCCAGUAAAAGAUGGAGGGUUCAUUCGGGUGAAAUCCCGAAUCCUGGCUGCAGCAGUAUUGGCCACUGGGUUGUUCGGAACAAUAGUUGAACAUUUAUUCUGGACUACCAAAGAAUGAGUUAGGGUGGUGAAAGUUGCUCUGAAUUCAGCAUGGGAUACGUGUUCGUCCAGAGGAUCUGGAUGGACAGGCUGGGGUUCUAACUGGUCUCCCAUUUCUCUUCCCUUAGUCCUCUUUGGAGGCAUAUUCUGCAAAUGAAAGAGAAAUUUGGAUUAGACAGGGAGUUUAACUAGAGCUCAUUCUUACUCGCACGAUAUGAGUACCGAAAGAAGGGAAACUUUUCCUAAAACACCUUACAGCCUCUUGUCCAUAAGUGUGGCGCGCUACACACCUAUGCACAAGACUCUACUAGAUGCGACUUUCAGGAUUCCUAGGACUCUGUUGAACCUUAAGCUCUGAUACCAAGUUUAUAAUGCCCCGAGUCUAUACCCCGAAUGUUACACGGUGCUUAUAGUCCCAAAGGACCGCAAGCUAACCCAUGACUGGUACCUGCUUCAAUAACUAAAUAAUAACACUAUAAUAUGCAGAAAUCAUGUAGAAACUUUCCAUAAGGUUCAAUACUGAAAUAAAACUGAAUGCGAUAUAACAAUACCAAAACUGAAACAUCUGUCUGAAAAUACUCUAGUUUGGAAAGCCUCUAAAUUGUCUGAAAUAGGGAGUUGAUGGGACAAAUCCCCAACUAACUCCGGCUACUGAAAUAAAAUGAGAUGUUGAAAUAAUAAUUAUGUCCUCGAACUAUGAGGACUCGCCACUAACUCUGACGGCUGAAAAUCUGUAACUGCUAGGGAUGAUCAGAGCCCGUGCGUCUAAACCUAUGAUAUAAAACAUCAUAGCGCAAGAAAAAAAGUAUGCGUUGGUACUUUGAAUGUACUGAUAUGCUAAAUGAGGUAGGCUAAAAUGCAUGGGUUCAUAUGCAUGAACAAUACUGACUAAAUGACAUGAAUAUAGCUAAAUGAGAGUACAUGCAUGAAUACGUAAACUAUAACUGAGAUCGUGACAACACUAAAUACUGAGUCUAAAUACUGAUUGAUUGAUAUCUGAGUAUACUGAUACUGAAUUACUAAUAACUAAAUGCCUGUAUCUGAUAGUCUUGAUUUUGUGGAACUAUACUGAGUUUCGUACUGAGCUGAGUGACUGUGCUUGACAAUCCUAAUCUGUAGAACUGAACUAAGUUCUAUUUUGAGACUUGAAUUGAAAAUGAGACUGUGGGAGAUAAUCAUCUAACCGACAUGCCCCUUUCUAAAUAAAUUGGGGUCCAACCUGUAACCCUAGUUGGAAGAGUGUCAAUACCGUGCCACAGAUAAACAUAAGCUAUGAGUUAACCCGGUCUGACAGGAAGCUCUUUCGUCAACCCUCGCUGGCAGAAAAACCUUGAAUGAGAUGUAUCAACCCUCAUAAUAUCUGGUAGGAAGAUAUCUCAACCUACGUUGGCUACAUAGUUCUGUAAUGUAGGGAUUGCUACUAAGGGUCAAGCCCUCUGUUGGCAGGAAUUCCCUCAUCCCUGGGUUGACUCGGUGUUGAAUCCUACUCCCAUCUGAAUAAACACUAAACUAAUUUUCCUAGUUCAUAAUAGGCUUGACUGAACUGUUACUGAGUUUACUGAGUUUCGUUGACUGACGAAAUACUGUUGAAUUAUGUUAGCUGACUAAGUUUACUGAGGUCUGAACUGAAUACUGAACUAAACUGAUAAUGAGUCUACUGAGUUUUUCCUGAGUUCUGCAACUGACUGAGAGUACUACUGAUCAUGACAUGAUUGAUACUAUCCUGAGACUGACCAUGGAUCUAGGUAAUCAGCUAAAUUGUCGGGUAUUAAAUACCCCUAGGACUCGAUAGCAUAAAUUGUAAGACAGGGUUCAAUCUUGAAACAUGAUAAAUAAUCUACUUGAUCAUCAUUCAUUCAUUGGGACAUUCUAGCAAACACUUGCAUGAUAUGAACUUGAAUACAUGCUAACAUGAUAUAAUUCCAUUAUUUAAUUCUCAUGAACAACUCAUCAAACACUUGGAAGACAUUUUAUAUGCACAUAGUACUAAUCAACACAUGAGCAUCACAAUUUCAAGGCUUUAACAUGAAUUCACAUGAUACUACCUACAUAAUAGUUGUUUUUACAUAAGUCUUUCACUUAAUCAUGGAAUAGAAAUCUAAUCAACAUUAUAAUCAUGAAUACACUUAAAUCCAAAUCAUGGGAAGCAUGAAAUCAAGCUACUUGAAGUUUAAAAGAGUUUCUUGGACUCUAAGGGUGGAAGGGACCCUUGGAUGAACACUUGACAUACCUUGAUUGCUAAAUUCCUGAAGAUUAAUGGUGGAAUCUUGAGCCUUGAAUUUGAAAUUCAAUCACCUAGGGUUUAUGUUCUUGAACAAUUUGUGAAAUACUGAGUGUAUGUUGCACAUAGAAGGCUAAAUUUCGUAUUUUUGGGGACUGAAGGACGUGGGAAAAAGACCCAAAUACCCCUAAGGACAAAGCUUUUAAUGACUGAAAAACCGAAUUGUCGACGCGCAGACCGGCGCGCCGUAUUAUUGGCAUCGACGCGAUGACCAACCUGCCGCGUCGAGUUCGUGUCGGUUCACUGAAAUUUGCACUGAGUGGAGGAAAAAAUUACCUGUCAACGCGACGCAUCGAGAUCGCGUCGACUCGCUGUUUUAGUCACCUAAACGUGGUCUAAACGAGGUUCGAAAAAUCCAAAACUUGUCCGGGAACACUUACUGACAUUCCUGAUCAUGAAUCAAUCUAAAGAUCAAUACUUUAAGGUCAUAGGAGUCGUGAAAUAAAGUUGCCAACUUACGAAGGCCAAAAUAAUACUAAGUUUGAAUACUUAGCUAGAAUUUUCUAAGUCUGGGACCCCUUAGCAAGCCUAAAAGACUGAGUUGAGCUUAAAAUUUUGCGGGGUCUUACAAUAUCAUAGCAUGUAGAUAACCACUUGAUAAUGCCCUGAAUAGAGAUCUUACAUACACUUGCCAAGUGUUUAAACAAUGAAUGUAAGGUCUAAACUGGUGUUUGUUAGAAAAUUUAAUUUCCCUAAUAAUCAACAUUUGAUAGUUGAAUCAACAAGCGGAGUACUGAAUUUGGCUGUGAGUUUGAUUGACGGAUUUAAAGGAGUAGAAACAUAUUUUGAGUCCAAACACUCGAAUUCAGAGAGCAAUUAUAAAGAAAAUGUCCUCUGAGUCAUGACCAGACCAUCAUUCUUACGAAUAAGUUCGAUGCCAAGAAACUAAUGUGCAAGUCCCAAGUCUUUGAUUCGAAACUCAGAUUCAAAAAAAAGUUUGAUCUCAUUGAUUUCAUGGGAAUUGUUUCCAGUGAGAAUAAUAUCAUCAACAUACACUAUUAAGAUGGUGAUGAGAUUCCGGGAUAUUUAGAAAAGAGUAAAACCUCUUGUCUUGAGGGUAGAGGAAAGACACGAAUAUCAUUGCCUCGAAGCCCAUUUAAAGCCAUAAAGGGACUUGCGUUGCUGGCAAACCUAUGAAGGAAAAGGGGCAGAAAAUCCCAGUGAAAAAUGCAUAUAAACCUCUUCAUCUAAAUCACCAUGUAGGAAUGUGUUAUUAAUAUCAAGCUAAAAUAAUUCCAGUUUUUCUUCACAACAAUUGAGAGUAAACAACGUAUAGUGGUCAUCUUAACGACAGGUGAAAAAGUCUUAGUAUAGUCGACUCCUUCUCUUUGAAUAUCACCUCAUACUACUAGACGAGCCUUUAAUGGGUCAAGUGCCCCAUUUGAUCUUAGUCUUACCUUAUAUACCUAUGUACAGGGCAAUGCUUUCUUACCCUAUGGCAAAUCAACUGUCUUAGGUGUGGUUAGAGACCAAAGCUUUAAAUUCCUUGUCCAUUGCAUCUUUCCAUCUAGGAUGCAAUAAUGCUUGACGGUAAGAAUGUGGCUCAUAAAUUUAACUAAUUAAAUUGAUGAUAUGCUUAUAUUGUGAUGACAAAACAGAAAAAGAUGCAACGUAAAAGGGAUGAAUAUGAGGAUUAGGAGAAAUAACAGAAGAAACAUGCUCACAAACAAAAUCAAAAAGACAUAGGAGGAAUAUGAGUCCAUUGAGACCUUUUGGGCUGGGCCUCUGGUGUCGUUGGUAACAUAUCAUUAGAGUUAAACUGAGGUUGUUCCUGUGGAUCGACUGUUGGUGAAGAAGAAUGAGACUGAUCAGAAGCAAUAUUAGGCAUUUAAGGAGAAAAAAUAUUUACAGAUAAUGGAGAGGGAGUAGGAGAAAGAUCUUGUGAUAUUAAGGUAGAAAACAUAAACAACUUUGUCUUGGUAGUAGAAAAAGAGAUAGGAAAUAUAUACUCAAUAAAUCUAACAUCCCUCGAAACAAAAAAACUAGUUGUUUGUGAGAUUUAAAAGUUUAUAACCCUUCUUUCCAAAGGGAUAACCUACAAAAAUAUUAGGAAGGGCUCUUGGUGCAAGUUUGUCCGUGUUUUUGGAAAGGGUGGAGAUAAUACAUAAGCAACCAAAAGGUUUUAAAUAUACAUAAUCAGAAAUUUUGACAAAAAAAACUUGAUCUGUAUAUCAAAAAAGUAUUGAGUAGUUUCAGUUGAGCUCAGAUCCUCGUUAGCUUAGUGAAGUAACCUGCUAUAGUAAUAUUGGCUUGAUUAAUAUUGUUAAAUUCCCUUUGCAGUUGGAAGAGCUUUGUACCAUUAGCAUGUCCAUAGCUUUGUUCUAGUUUACUCCACCAUUCUCUGGCAGUUGAAGAUUAGAUCACACUCUCAGCAAUAUCUCUACUGAGAGUAUUCAGUAGCCAAGAUAUCAGCCUGUCGUUAUAUCUCUGCCAUUGUAAAAACAAGGGUGAGUCUGAAUUUGGGGAUAAAGAAAAUCUAUUAAUAAAACCAAGUGUAUUCUUGGUUAAAAGAAAAAUCAACACUCCUCUUUUUCAGUAGUUAUAAGAAGUUUCAUCAAAAGUUAUAUUAAUUAGUGUCAUGCUUGGAUUAUAGGAGGAAGAAAGAAAGUAGGGGUGAGUGGAUUUAAUUAGAAUCAAGGAUGCUGAAUUCAUAGGAGUUCCUUUAGUUUCAAAAGAUUUUGGGUCAUCAGAUAUAGUCGUUUGAGAAAACAUUGAAGUGAAAAAAAAUGAAGAGAAGAUUCUUAUAGCACCUGCUCCGAUACCAUGAAAAAGAAGAAGAAUAACAGGAUUUGUAUUUAUUUCUUGUGUAUAUUCUGUAAAUCGUGAUCCGAUAUAUAUACAAAGCAUUACUUCGCAAGAAAUUUAUCCUAUGUAACAGACAUGGAUAAAAAUCUACCCUAUGUACCAAACUUAAUAAUAAAAAGAAAUUAAAAAAUUAUGGGAAAAAGACAAAAAUAACAUCUAAAAUAAACUAAUUCUACAAAAUUAGCACCCAAAUUUUUAAUACCCAUAAAUAGCCACUCGCGAAUUGGGUUUUAAACCCGAUAAAUAGCCUCGUCACUCGCAUAUGUGUAUUAUAUCAUCUUCUUCUCUCAACUUUUCUCCAUUCCUACCAUAUAAUAUGAAUUUCACAUAGAAAUUAGAAAAAAAUAAAAUUCAACCCACCAAAAUUCAAUCAAUUUCACCCCAAUUCCUAAUCUCAGACACCAAAAUUGAACCUUCUAGGGGCUUCAAUCCAAUAGUAGUCUUACAGGGACUAGCUUCCUUUCCUACUGAAUUUCACUCAAGGAUUCCGAAUUCCAAUUUUGUUUCUGUCCGAUUAAUCCGAAUUCAUAUCGGUAACAAUACUUCGACGAAAAACUUGUACACAAAAUUCGACUAUUGCACUGGCAAAGUAACUUCUUCAGUUACCUUUGUCAACCAAAUACCUUGGUAAGGACAAUAUUUUUUCCAGCGAACUAUUCUUUUGGGUUUAUGCUCGUUUUUGUGAUUUUGUUUUCGUCCGAUUAAUCAACAUUCAUAUCGGUAACAAUACGUCGGCGAAAAACUUGUUCACAAAAUUCGACUAUUGCACUGACAAAGUAACUUCUUCAGUUACCUUUGUCAACCAAAUGCCUCGGUAAGUACAAUAUUUUUUUCAGUGAAAUAUUCUUUUGGGUUUAUGCUCGUUUUUGUGAUUUCGUUUCUGUCGUUAAUCAUUUACGUGAUAUUUCUGCUACUACUAUGAUUAUUGAGAUACUUGACACAUGAUUCAGUGAGUUUUCUCUGUUUCUAUCUUUAAGCUUCACUGUAUUUUAAUGGUAGCGUUGUGGAUUUGCAUGCUUAAUUUGAAGUCGACAAAGUUAUUGGUGUAGGACAUAAAUUGAUCAAAACUUUCAAUGGAGGUCUAUGCUUGCACAAAUUUUAUAUGUAAAAGGUGUAUUUAUAUGAUAUAUAUACUGUAUCAACGUGGUAUAAAAGUGUAUUAAUGCGGUAUCAAAGUGUAUCAAUGUAGUAUAAAAGUAUAUCAAUGUUGUAUAAAAGUGUAUUAAUAUGGUAUAAAAGAGUACCAAUUAGGAAUAGGAACUGAAUGUGCUUGCAUAGAAUUUCCUUUCUCUUUUUUAAAAAGUGUAUCAAUAUAAUAUAAAAGUGUAUCAAUUUGAUAUAAAAGUAUAUCAAUUGAUUAUAGAGACUGCAUGUACCAAAUUAGGCCAAAUGGCUGAAAAAAGGAUUAGUUUAGCCGACUGGACAACCCAUGUCCACCUUUUCAGAUGGGGGCCAUUUUUUUUUUUAAAUAGUUAUACCAUGUCCUUUUUCCUAUCUAUUUAUACUAGUACAAUGUCUAAUCUGUCCCUAUACAUUAUUCUAGAAAUAAGGGAAUAAAUCCUAUUAGAGAGAAAGUCACAGCUGGACAAUUUUCAAUCGAUAUAUGCUAAUUUUCAAUAAUUUGUCUAUGUAGAUGACACAAUCUUUUUUUGCUCAGGUCAUAAAGGUUCAGUGAAAAAAAUGAUGAGGGUACUACAUGAUUAUGAGAAAGUAUCUGGCCAGUUAAUCAUCCUUUCUAAGAGCUACAUAUAUACAUAACAAAGUUUCUAUAACAGAUAAGCACAAACUGAGAAGAUUAACAGGCAUUGAUGUAGGACAUCUCCUAUUCACAUACCUAGGAUGCCCAAUUUUCUAUAGAAGGCAGAAGAAGAUAUAUUUUGAGGAGAUCAUAAGGCAUUACAGGAUGUUAACUUAUAGGGGAAGGUAUGUAUUAUUAUGUAAUGUCCUGUAAUCAAUGACCAUGUAAUCAAUGACCAUAUAUCUGAUAUUUGUAAUGAACCCUCCGAAAGGUGUUAUUGAUGAAAUACAUAGGCUGAUAGCUAGGUUUUUUUGGGGUAAAAUAGGAGGUUCAAAAGAGAAGCAAUGGGCCACAUAGGAUGAUUUGUGCUAUCCAAAGACAGAAAAGGAAAUUGGCUUUCGAUCUUUGCAUACAGUUUCUGAUGCUUUGUUGGCAGUGGAAUUUCAAAACAUCUAUAGACUUUAUGUGGAGCCACUUUAUGUGGAACAAGUAUUGCAAGAAAAAACAUCCUGUAUUUCCACAAGGUUUUGAAAUUUCACAAGUUUGGAGAAAAACAAUACAGGUUAGGAAAAAAUAGAACACUAUAUCUUUUGGCAGAUUAAUAAUGGAGUUGUCAGCUUUUGGUUUGACAACUAGACUCAGUUAGACACUCUAUAUUUCACUGAUGAAGAAAAUAAUAUUGAGAAGGAGAUAGAAGUCACAUAAUUUAUAAUAGAAGAUGGUUCCUGAAAUGUGGAAAAGCUGAAAGAGUAUAUUUCAGAAGAGAGAAUACAACACAUAAAGGAUACCAUCAAAUCAUAUAAAAAUGAGAUAGACAGGGACAAAGCUUGGUGGAGGCCUACUUCAGAUAGUAAAUUCAGUAUCAAAGAUACACAUGAGGUAUUAAGGAAGAAAAGAAGGACCAAUGAGGAGUGCAAAUUGAUCUAGAACAAAACUUUGCCUACAAAGUUACGUUUCUUUUCAUGGAGAGCUUUGAAGGGAAGGAUACCUACAGAUGACAAUCUUGCUAAACUAAGGAUUCAUAUAGUAUCAAGGUGUUAGUGCUGUGAGAAACCCAAACAGAAAACUAUGGAACACUUAUUUCUAAAAACUCCCAUAACUACUAAGUUAUGGAAGCAGUUUGCUAAUUUUCUAGUUAUUAAAAUUGAAAGAGCAUAAUUACCACUUGUGAUCAGAAUGUGGUGGUUUAAAGAAGCACCCACAAAAUUACAGCAAAUCUACAGGGAGUUACCAGCAAUUAUUAUAUGGGUUUUGUGGGAAAAGGAGAAACAAACUGAAGCAUAGAGACAUUGCUCAAAUAAGUGAUAAAGUUAAAAUUCCCAUUGAUAAAGGAUACAGGGAACAAUUGGGCAGAUUUGGUGACCUAGUUCAAGAGAUAUAAACCAAGGUUGUAUUGCUAUGCAGUGAAAUGGACACUAUCCACAUAGGAGAGGUUAAAGUACAAUACAGAUGGUGCCUCUAAGAGAAAUCUAGGACAAGGAGCAUAUGGAUUUAUUGUGAGAAGAGAUGAUAGAAACUUAAUAUAUGCUCAAGAAGGUGGGCUGGGCAUUACUACUACUAUGAUAGUAGAGAUGACAACAAUUUUGAAGGCAGUAAGAUUUUGCGCAUUGAGGAAUUUUAGGGACAUGGAAAUAGAAUCAGAUUCUUUGGCUUUGGUUAAUAUUGUAAGAAAUGUGUGACAGAUCCCAUGGGAAAUGAUUGAAGCAAUAGAAGAAAUAAGAAACCUGAUGUCUAAUAUAAAUGCUACAAUCACAUACAUUUACAGGGAGGAGAAUACAUUUGUAGAUUAUCUAGCUAAUCUAGCUACUCAAUCAGAACAUACAAAAACAUUCAACAAAUUUUAGCAAUUACCACCAGUAGAAAGGAAGAUUUUUAAUAUGGAUAAGAUGCAAAUUCCUAAUUUGAGAAUUAACUAAGAUGAUAAAUCUAUAUUAAAAAAUGUUCGGCCUAUGCAACACAUGCAAAAUGUAGAUUCUGAGCAGCAAAGGCAUUUACAGUGAACUAAAUCCUUAUACAAGGACCAACACUGCUGCUAAAUACGAUAGCCAAAUCUAUGUUAGCUCACAAAAACUAUCACCAAAAACAAAGGAGAAAUGCGUCAUAUAUGUCCAUUGGCCUAGGAGGUCUGUCAUAAGCCUAUAUUAGCAAUGGAUCCAUCAUCUUCAAUGCAUAUCUAAUAGAAAAAGGAAGAGAAGAUUUUUAUCUUAGAUUCAAAGUGAUAAUGAAGAGCAGAAAGGUUACUUAUGGAUGAACUGCAAACCUUGGACGUUUCCCCUUUCUCUUUCACUCCAGAAACAACCCCACCACCUGAAACUUGGUAGAGUUUGUAAAGUGGAUAGGUGUAAAGACAAAUCUCUACAAAUGUUACCUUUGUUUUUUGACAACCUUUUUUGUGAAAAAGACACACAACACAAGGAUGGAACAAUAUUUAUCACCCACAGAAGAAGUAGAAUCAGUUUGGAAUUAAGGCGGCAACAUCUUAGAAGCACGUUGAAGGUGGAGAGGCGACCAAAGAUGGAAAUGGAAAUAAUAGGAAUUUCUUACAUUUUUAUAGCUAGGUCAAAUAGGAAAUUGGGCUUGACCUGCAAUAAUUUUCAGGAUUUGUUUUCUUUUUGGCAUUGGGCCAUAAACUUUUUUUGUUUUAUUGAUUAUUAAUAAAAUGGCUGCAAAGCCACAAAAAUUUCC
rnacentral:lncRNA from 1 species